rnacentral:rRNA from 1 species
GCGCGUCUAUAAUGCAAGUCGAGCGGACAGAUGGGAGCUUGCUCCCUGAUGUCAGCGGCGGACGGGUGAGUAACACGUGGGUAACCUGCCUGUAAGACUGGGAUAACUCCGGGAAACCGGGGCUAAUACCGGAUGCUUGAUUGAACCGCAUGGUUCAAUUAUAAAAGGUGGCUUUUACCUACCACUUACAGAUGGACCCGCGGCGCAUUACCUAGUUGGUGAGGUAACGGCUCACCAAGGCAACAAUGCGUACCCAACCUGAAAGGGUGAUCGGCCACACUGGGACUGAAACACGGCCCAAACUCCUACGGGAGGCACCAUUAGGGAAUCUUCCGCAAUGGACAAAAGUCUGACGGACCACCGCCCCGUGAGUGAUGAAGGUUUUCGGAUCGUAAAACUCUGUUGUUAGGGAAAAACAAUUACCGUUCAAAUAGGGCGGUACCUUGACGGUACCUAACCAAAAAGCCACGGCUAACUACUUGCCACCACCCGCGGUAAUACUUAGGUGGCAAGCGUUGUCCGGAAUUAUUGGGCGUAAAGCGCGCGCAGGCGGUUUCUUAAUUCUGAUGUGAAAGCCCCCGGCUCAACCGGGGAGGGUCAUUGAAAACUGGGGAACUUGAUUGCAAAAAAGGAGAGUGAAAUUCCCCGUUUCCCGUUAAA